AGUUAACAUCAGUAAACAAAAUGUUUUGAAAGCAUUUUAAAGAGGUUAAAUUCCUCUAUUAACUU
rnacentral:tRNA from 1 species